GAUAGUGGCGAACGGGUGAGUAACGCGUAAGUAACCUACCUCUAAGUGGGGGAUAGCUUCGGGAAACUGAAGGUAAUACCGCAUGUGGUGGGCCGACAUAUGUUGGUUCACUAAAGCCGUAAGGCGCUUGGUGAGGGGCUUGCGUCCGAUUAGCUAGUUGGUGGGGUAAUGGCCUACCAAGGCUUCGAUCGGUAGCUGGUCUGAGAGGAUGAUCAGCCACACUGGGACUGAGACACGGCCCAGACUCCUACGGGAGGCAGCAGCAAGGAAUCUUGGGCAAUGGGCGAAAGCCUGACCCAGCAACGCCGCGUGAGGGAUGAAGGCUUUCGGGUUGUAAACCUCUUUUCAUAGGGAAGAAUAAUGACGGUACCUGUGGAAUAAGCUUCGGCUAACUACGUGCCAGCAGCCGCGGUAAUACGUAGGAAGCAAGCGUUAUCCGGAUUUAUUGGGCGUAAAGUGAGCGUAGGUGGUCUUUCAAGUUGGAUGUGAAAUUUCCCGGCUUAACCGGGACGAGUCAUUCAAUACUGUUGGACUAGAGUACAGCAGGAGAAAACGGAAUUCCCGGUGUAGUGGUAAAAUGCGUAGAUAUCGGGAGGAACACCAGAGGCGAAGGCGGUUUUCUAGGUUGUCACUGACACUGAGGCUCGAAAGCGUGGGGAGCGAACAGAAUUAGAUACUCUGGUAGUCCACGCCUUAAACUAUGGACACUAGGUAUAGGGAGUAUCGACCCUCUCUGUGCCGAAGCUAACGCUUUAAGUGUCCCGCCUGGGGAGUACGGUCGCAAGGCUAAAACUCAAAGGAAUUGACGGGGGCCCGCACAAGCAGCGGAGCGUGUGGUUUAAUUCGAUGCUACACGAAGAACCUUACCAAGAUUUGACAUGCAUGUAGUAGUGAACUGAAA
rnacentral:rRNA from 1 species